rnacentral:rRNA from 1 species
AGUAAUACAUCGGAACGUGUCCCGUAGUGGGGGAUAGCCCGGCGAAAGCCGGAUUAAUACCGCAUAUGCUCUACGGAGGAAAGUGGGGGACUUGGCAACAGGCCUCACGCUAUGGGAGCGGCCGAUGUCCGAUUAGCUUGUUGGCGGGGUAAUGGCCCACCAAGGCGACGAUCGGUAGCUGGUCUGAGAGGAUGAUCAGCCACACUGGGACUGAGACACGGCCCAG